AGGAUGAGAGCGAUUGGUCCAGCAAUACUGAUACCGAAUGAUUUUCAAACAGAUAUUUGUAUAUGCCUCCUAAACGCAAAAGAACACGUGAGCCAUCCCCACCACUUAGCGAAUCCCCGUGUGCUUCACUUGCCAACAAUGGUGGGCCACCGUCACUAGAACCAGAACAAGCUGUUGUAAACCAGCGCCGAGUUAGAGGCAUUACGAGGGGUGUCUGCAUAGAAAAAGUA